rnacentral:rRNA from 1 species
CCCUUAGAUGUUCUGGGCCGCACGCGUGCUACACUGAGUGGAUCAGCGGGUCAGGUUGCGCGAAAGCGUUUCCUAAUCUUUAAAUCCGCUCGUGAUGGGGAUUGACGGUUGCAAUUUUCUGUCAUGAACGAGGAAUACCUUGUAAGCGCGGGUCAUCAUCCCGCGCUGAAUACGUCCCUGCCCUUUGUACACACCGCCCGUCGCUCCUACCGAUUGAGUGGUCCGGUGAGGCUUUGGGAUCUGAGCGGAAAGAGCGUUACGCUGUUUCUGCUCGGAAAACUCAGUCGAACCUUAUCAUUUAGAGGAAGGAGAAGUCGUAACA